rnacentral:rRNA from 1 species
UACAGAGGUCUCAAGCGUUGUUCGGAUUCAUUGGGCGUAAAGGGUGCGUAGGUGGCGAUGCAAGUCUGGUGUGAAAUCUUGGGGCUCAACCUCAAAAUUGCACCGGAUACUGCGUUGCUCGAGGAUUGUAGAGGAGAGUGGAAUUCAUGGUGUAGCAGUGAAAUGCGUAGAUAUCAUGAGGAAGACCAGUUGCGAAGGCGACUCUCUGGGCAAUUCCUGACACUGAGGCACGAAGGCCAGGGGAGCAAACGGG